ACGAGGGAAAAUCCCUAGUUUUCAGACUUCAUUUAUUUCGCUCAUUUAUGUUCUUCAUGAAAUACGUAUUUUCUAAAACGUUCCCCUUUUCUCGUUUACAAAUCCAGAAAUUGUCUCUGUUCCUCAAAGUCAGUUGUGUGAAUUGUUUUCAUUCUUAGGGUCCCGUGCUGCUGUUUUCCUAGAAGUUUUCGUGCUCUACGCAGAUCACUGGCACUGGUGACGGGACAGCACGACAAAUGCCACGAUUCCACCUGCUGUCCUGAGGAGCUGCGCGGCCCCACUUCUCCGAACCAGAGGCCCAUCCCCAGAGCAUCCCUGGUCAGCGCGAGUGGACCGCUCCGACCAGGCCGAGCCGGGCUCUGUUGCUACGUUGCUUUAAGGAGGAGAUGUCUGCAAGUCUUGCUUAAGGGGGUCGAGACGAAUGUCAGAAUUGGCACCUGGGCUUUUUUCUUCCAAACGUGUGCUGUGUCCACAGACCAGCAGCCAUUGGCCUCUCCGGGGGAGUGUCCGGGACAGGGUCAGAGCAGUGGGAGCCCCGAGUGAACAGCUCCCUGGCUCUGCAGGAGAAGGGACAGCAGGUGUCUGUUGUCCGGAGGAUGCCGCUCUGCACGGAACCCAGGUCUGAGGCGGGGCUUGGCCCUGGGAUCGUGUCGGGGAUGUUGAGCGGGGAUGGAACGCGCACUUCCAUUAGGACAGGGCUCGGGUGCUCUGCCGGGAGAGUGGAGGGCGUCCGGGAAAGUCUCGUAUGAGCCGGUGGGAUACCUGACCGGGACCCCGGUCCUUCGGUGUCCGGCACAGAGAGGGCAGUACUUGUGCCCCGUGAGGGGUCUCCACGCGGCUGGUGCUCGGGGCCAAGUAUGGGUGGGGCAGCCCCCCGCCCCCACACACACACCCAGGGCUGUCUCAGGGAGGAGUGGGGUAUGACGCGUGGGCGCUCACCCUGAUGGUGGCGGCCCCUUCUUUCUAGGUGCUUGCUGCACAUGGGCCCUGCGAACUGGCGGCAGGGGACAGGUGGCCGCCCUGUGGCACGCGGUCACAGGUGGCGGGCUCAGGCGUGUGCGCACUGCCCCUGGGCCCACCCCGCACCCCCGCAGGGCUGGUGACGGCGGGUGAGCGCAGCACACAGGGAACUUUCACACCCGAGCGUGGCCUUGACCUAGGAGCUGUGGCCCUGAGAGAAGGGACUCCCCGGCAGGAGAACGUGCGGAGGGGUCAUCUGGGCCCGGGGCCUGUUGGAGUCGUCGGCACCUCAUCUGACAGUGCAUCCCUCUACUUGGGGUGUGCGCGAAGCACGGUCCCCGGAACACGGGCCUGCCAGCCGCCAGGAUGCCAGCGCUGGGCUAGGACAGCUGCUGUCGACCUCGACCCCCGCACAGUCGAGGACGUCGUGAGCAACAAACCUGGGAUUCCUCUGAUAACCAGAGUGGUAAGUCACUGGAGACCAGUCCGUUCAGAGUGGGCUUUGCAGGUGUGCUUGGUGGGGACAGACCUUCCCAGGCUGCGGAUGAACCUCUUAGGCUCUGCAGCCUUUUACCGACACCCUCGGGGCACCACUGACGCUUCUCGCGGGCUCCGCUCCUGGGCCCAGACAUCGCCCGGAGACUGGGAGCCUCGCACACAUUCAGGGGGUGACGUUGACCAUCUCACGUGCCCGGAUGUCUUCUUCGGAGAAAUAACCCGUCGUGUUUUCUAUCUAACCCGACUGGUGUCGGUUCCGCGUCACAGAUCUUGGCUCCCGUGUACUUGGUUUCUGCUCCGUGUUGGUGGCUCCCGUCGGUGUGCACAAGGCUUUUAGUGCAGCCCCACUGGCUUAUUUUUGCUUCUGUUGCUUUUGCGAAUGGUGUCAAAUCCAAAAACCUGUCGCCAAGACCAAUGUCAGGGAGCUCACGGCCUGUUUUUGUCUGGCUUCUGGUUUCUGGUCCUAAAUCCAUUGUUGAGAUUUAAGAUCUUAUUUUUAAAUCAUCUCUACACCCGGCGUGGGGCUCGAACUCACAACCCUGAGACAGUCAGGCCCCCUGCGUCACGUUGUCCGCGGCGGCCCGGGG
ensembl:lncRNA